AAGCGUGCGCAGGCGGUUUUGUAAGACUGUCGUGAAAUCCCCGGGCUCAACCUGGGAAUGGCGAUGGUGACUGCAAGGCUAGAGUUUGGCAGAGGGGGGUAGAAUUCCACGUGUAGCAGUGAAAUGCGUAGAUAUGUGGAGGAACCACCGAUGGCGAAGGCAGCCCCCUGGGUCAAAACUGACGCUCAUGCACGAAAGCGUGGGGAGCAAACAGGAUUAGAUACCCCGGU
rnacentral:rRNA from 1 species